GCGGGAGUAGCUCAGUUGGUAGAGCGCAACCUUGCCAGGUUGAGGUCGCGAGUUCGAGACUCGUCUCCCGCU
rnacentral:tRNA from 1 species